AGACAGUGUGUGUUUUUGGGUUA
rnacentral:siRNA from 1 species